rnacentral:rRNA from 1 species
CAGUCGCCACGGGAAUACAGAGGGUGCGAGCGUUAAUCGGAUUUACUGGGCGUAAAGCGUGCGUAGGCGGCUAAUUGAGUCGGAUGUGAAAUCCCUGAGCUUAACUUAGGAAUUGCAUUCGAUACUGGGAAGCUAGAGUAUGGGAGAGGAUGGUAGAAUUCCAGGUGUAGCGGUGAAAUGCGUAGAGAUCUGGAGGAAUACCGAUGGCGAAGGCAGCCAUCUGGCCUAAUACUGACGCUGAGGUACGAAAGCAUGGGGAGCAAACAGGAUUAGAUACCCCCGUAGUCCCUGUCUCUUAUAC